CGUAGAAGAACAACCAACCACAAAAUCGCUAAUCCGGGUGGGUCAGAUUGCGGUUUAUUUCGGCCCACCUCCGCUUCCUACCGUCGAUCUCCUCAUCGCGAGUUCGCCCGCCGCCUCCGCCGCCGAUCUCCAUUCCGCGAGCAGCGGCCGCCGGCGUCCUGCUGUUCCCGCCGCAUCCUCGCCGGCCGCUUCGAAAUGGCGAUACAUAUACAACAGAAAAGAAGUACAGCAUCAGGUCGUUGUCAUGGCAAACCAAUUUCCGAGAAACGAAGGCCCAGUGUUAAAUUGGAAGACCUUCCAGAGGAUGUGCUAUGCAUAAUCGUAUCAAAGUUGCCUCUAAAGGAGGUUUCAAGGACUAGUGUUUUGUCAAGUAGUUGGAGAUAUAUCUGGUCUAUUUGCCGUCCCAAAUUAAGUUUCAGUGGUUUUUGUGGGUUUUACGAUGAUCCUCAUGAAAGAGAACAAUACUCUCAGAAAUUCGCUGAAAAAGUUAAUGCAGUUUUGCGGAAGUAUGAUGGCAAGUUGAUCGAAGAAUUUGAUGUCAAGAUCGAAUUUGAUGCCGUGCUGAGUGAUCACCUCAACAAUUGGCUUACUUUUGCCAUGUUAUCACGGACCAAGAACCUAGCUUUCGAUUUAGAGCCUGCUACAUCGUACAGUUGGGGUGAUUGUCACACAUUUCCAUUUCACCUAUUGGAUCGUGAAAGCAUUUUCCGUCUACAGCGUAUUCAGCUUAGCUUCUUGUCUUUCAAACCACCACCUGAUUUCAGAGGAUUCCCAAACCUUAGAAAGCUUGAUCUGAAUUUAGUGCAUCUCAACAGAGAGGAUCUUGAAGUUAUGUUGCACGGUUGCCAUAAUCUUGAAUGGCUGAGCUUAGUCAGGUGCUAUCUCAAUGGCAAACUGGAGUUGUGUAAUCCAUUAUCCCGCCUGGCACACCUAGCAGUAAUCCAAUGUGGUGCAACCAUGGUAGAAAUCCACGUUCCCAAGCUUGCUAACUUCAAAUAUCAUGGAGACUUUGUGUCUAUCGCCAUAAAUCCCGCAUCGAAGCUGGAAAACGCAUACAUUUGGUUCUUCAAGGCAACUUUCGAGGACGCUCUUUCUGCACUUCUCAAUGGCAUUCCGAGCAUACAAAAUCUGACUUUGCAUAUUUAUUGGCUACGUAUAGAGGCGCAAAUGCCAAGUAACACAUGCAUCUUUCCUCAUCUGAGACACCUGCAGUUGCUGAUGAACAUACAACUUGAAUAUGCCAACAAGGUCCCGAAUGUGGUUUCUUCCUUAAUGAAGGCAGCUCCAUUCCUUCAAAAGUUAGAGGUUCAUUUUGGUGGCAAUGAUAAGAUAUGGUUUGCAGACCAGGGGCCUGGUAUGCCGCAGCUUACGCGCUGCGAAUACAGUUGUCUGAAGAAUGUGCACAUUACAGGGUACAAAGGGGCGAGAUGCCAGAUUGAGUUUCUUCUGCACAUAGUGGAAAACGCCCCUACACUGGAGGCAUUGACCAUAGACACAACUCAGGUACUAUAUGAAGAUUAUUAUGGCGCCAGAAUUGGCAGCAAGUUCUCCGAGUGUGUUGCUGUAGUUGCUAGGGAUUUUCUCCGUAGAAAGCUCCCGACAAAGGUGAAGCUCCACGUCAUGUAAGACUUGUUUAGGGCUGUAAAAAAAAAAAAAGCUGAGGCUCGUGAACUGCUCGAGAUGAAGCAUCAUCUCCUUUUCUCCAUCGAGCAUCGCUAGCUCUGAUCUGAUUCCCAUAGUCAGGGAUCACGUUUCUGA
rnacentral:lncRNA from 1 species